CCGUCCAGCGGGUGCAGGUGCGGACGCACCGGCCAUCACCGCGCGCGGCUGCGCAGCGGGCACCGUAGACACCGGUCUCUGGCUCCCUAGAGCGGGGCAGCCACAGAACCCGAGGCCAUGUCCCAUGAAAAGAGUUUCUUGGUGUCUGGGGACAGCUAUCCUCCCCCAAACCCUGGCUAUCCUGUGGGGCCACAAGCCCCUAUGCCUCCCUAUGUUCAGCCUCCCUACCCUGGGGCCCCAUACCCACAGGCCGCUUUCCAGCCCUCUCCCUAUGGUCAACCAGGGUAUCCCCAUGGUCCCGGUCCCUAUCCACAAGGUGGUUACCCUCAAGGACCCUACCCUCAAGGAGGCUACCCACAGGGGCCAUACCCACAGAGCCCCUUCCCCCCUAACCCCUAUGGACAGCCACCACCCUUCCAGGACCCUGGCUGUAAGUGUAGGGAAAGGUAGGGGCAGGGGCAAGGGAUUCAAGUGCCUUCAAGGAACAUUGACCCAGCCUCUCUGUCCCCAG
rnacentral:lncRNA from 1 species